UUUACUUUACUUUCAGCAACAAAUGUGUGCAUCUUAAUGAUUAGAGUAAAGUAACAGUUACUUCCAUGUUGAAAAAAGCAUGUUACUUCAUAAUAAGACUGAGGUCAACUUGUCUGAGACAAGUAACCUCAACAGUGACAAAUUUCUACCAUUAGGAGGCGCCCUUGCGCGUAUUUCUGCAGGGAAGAAGAAGAAGAAGAAGUGGGAGCAUGCAAGGAAGACGUUAACGUUACUGUGCUGGAGUGAUUUGAAUUUUCGCCCUCUCAGUUUGCUCUUCCGAAGAAUCGUUGUUGAAAGCAUUCAGAAGAUAAAAAAUAAACAUCAGACCUUUUCCUUUCGGAAGACUUUGUGCUCAUCUCGGCUUGUCCCCUGCACUCCGAAAUCUGGCGCUAUUAGCCGAUGCUACCAAC